AUGAACGCUGGCGGCGUGCCUAAUACAUGCAAGUCGAGCGAACAGACGAGGAGCUUGCUCCUUCGACGUUAGCGGCGGACGGGUGAGUAACACGUAGGUAACCUACCUAUAAGACUGGGAUAACUUCGGGAAACCGGAGCUAAUACCGGAUAAUAUUUCGAACCGCAUGGUUCGAUAGUGAAAGAUGGCUUUGCUAUCACUUAUAGAUGGACCUGCGCCGUAUUAGCUAGUUGGUAAGGUAACGGCUUACCAAGGCAACGAUACGUAGCCGACCUGAGAGGGUGAUCGGCCACACUGGAACUGAGACACGGUCCAGACUCCUACGGGAGGCAGCAGUAGGGAAUCUUCCGCAAUGGGCGAAGGCCUGACGGAGCAACGCCGCGUGAGUGAUGAAGGUCUUCGGAUCGUAAAACUCUGUUAUUAGGGAAGAACAAACGUGUAAGUAACUGUGCACGUCUUGACGGUACCUAAUCAGAAAGCCACGGCUAACUACGUG
rnacentral:rRNA from 1 species